UGGGGGUAUAGCUCAGCUGGGAGAGCGCUUGAAUGGCAUUCAAGAGGUCAUGGGUUCGAAUCCCACUAUCUCCAU
rnacentral:tRNA from 1 species